ensembl:lncRNA
UGGGAGGUCUACAGAGCCUGGCCAGGCACACGGCGGAGGGGAUUGGACAAGUCCCGGCUUCCUGGCUCAAGUCCGGACAGGUCCUGGGUCUCUGGGCCCUCGCAUUUUCCUCUUGGAAAUGAUUUUUAGGACCUCGUUCAGCCCUGAGCUGGUCACGAACUAAUCACGUGUUACAAGCUCCAACUGAAAAUUACCAGGAAGAAAUUACAGAGGACUUGUCAAAGUCCAUGUCCUGGGGUGAAGUUUGUCAUCGUCGUGCUGCCAUGGAGACAGACCUGUUGCAUCACGUGGAGCACUGUUUCAGACCCUGCCCGAGAAACGCAAGGGGCGUGGCUGGCUGUUCAUUUUCUGUCUUUCUUCUAAUCUAUCUGUUUUGGGUAAACACUCGUCUGGUCUGCGAGCUGAGAGGGGGCGCCCUCAAGUUUCACCUGUGCGGCUCCCAGGGAGCUCCUCCCGCCCUCCCUCCGGCAGGCCGCGGGCGAGGGCAGGCGCAGGGCCCGACGGCCGACGCAGCGCCGCGCCCACUCACCUCGGCGAUCCGGGCCCGCUGCUCGCGCGCCGCGGCGUCGGCCGGCUCGCGGUUGUCCACGCCCACGGGCGGCGCGAAGUGCAGCACCGGCAGCCCGCGCUCCGGCUCCGACUCGCGCCGCUGGUCGCGGGCCACCUCCGCCUUGUCGCGCAGGAUGUCCCUCCGGAUCUCCUCGGGCGGCUUCUGCAGCGUGUCCUUGGCCUCGCGCAGCGCGCGCUCGUGGUUCUCGCGGAUGCGGGCCAGGGGGUCCUGGGCGCGCGGGCCGGGGCCGGGGCCGGGCCCGGGCCGGGGGGCGGCGGGCGGCGCGGCGUGGAACAGCACCCCGCUGAGCAGCUUGGAGGGGUCGGGCAGGAAGAAGAUCGCGCCGAAGCACAGCGUGGCGAAGGCGCUGAACACCAGCAGCAGCGCGAACUUCUCGCUCAGGCGGAAGGCGGCGGCGCCCGCGCCCUUCCUGCCGCCCGCGCCCGCGCCCGGCGCCCUGGCCCGCGCUCCGCUGGGCCCCCGAGCAGCGGCAGCAGCGGCCCCGCGGGCAUCGUAGCCGUCAGCGCAUGCGGGGCUCCACGGCAGGCGGGGCAGGCGGCCGGGCGCGCAGCCUGCGGGACGGACGGGCGCGGCGGUCGGGCGGGGACCCCGCACCCCCGACGGCCGCGCCGCGCCCGGCCGGGAAGUUCCGCCGGGCUCUGCGGCCCCGGGCUGCCGCGAGCGCCGGGCGCGCCUGCGAGCGAGGCAGCCUGGGCGGUCAGCCCCGAGCCCCGGCGCCCCGCCCGAGGCCCAUGUCAGUGGCUCCCGCUCCUCCGCGGCUCCCCCGCUGCUCCGCAGGCGCCGAGCUGCACCGCUGCUGGAGCGCCGAGCUCUACCGCGGCCGGCUCGGGGCGGGGCGGGGCGCCGGAGUGACAGCGCGGCCGGCCAAUGCGCGCAGCGCGGGGUCCCGCGGGGGCGGGGCUGGGGCGGAGGGGCGGGGCGGGCAGGCGCUUACGGGAAGCGGGGCGGGGGAGGGGCCGGGCGCGGAGGGCGGGGCCCAGGGACGUCACCUGGACUGGGCUCCGCGGGGUCCCGGGUGCUGGGUCCUGGGUGGCGCAGAAGCGCUCCGGGAGGCUCAGGACCCCGGGUCCCUGGACCCCUGGACCCCUGGCUUUCUAGACCCCUGGACCCCUGGUUCCCCGGCCUCCUGUACCCCUGCAUCCCUCGGUCCCUGGACCCCUGGACCCCCGGAUUUCCUAGACCCCCGGACCCCUGGAUUUCCUAGACUCCUAGACCCCUAGCCUCCUGGACCCCUGGACUCCUGGGCCCCUGGAACCCUGUACCCUGGACCCCUGCAUCCCCUGAGCCCCCCGGACGCCCUUGGCCCCUGAAGACAGCGGACCCCUGCCGCCCCUGGAUUCCCCACACUCCUCGGUCCCUGAACCCCGAGCUCCCUGGCCCCGCGGGGCCCUGUCCCCCUCCGCGCCCGCUCCCCUCCUGCCCGAAAAGUUGUGCGUCCCCGCCGGCCGCCGACUUUCGGGCGCCCUUACCUCGUGGCAGUUGCUUAGAUUUUCCAUCGCGAGCGGCUUCAGCUGCCUGCGCCCCGGCCGCGCGCCGAGCCCGAGGAGGAGGCGAAGUCUGGGCCGCUCCUCCGCGGUGACGGCCGGGUCGGGGCGCUCGCCUAGCUCGCAGCCUCGCUCCCGUGGCGCCCGGCGCUCAGGGUGCCAUGGAGACGGCGCCGCCCCCGGCCCUCGGGGUGGGCUGGGCGGGGCACCUGUGGCCGGCCGCGCGCGUGUGCGCGCCUGCGUGUGCGCGCGCGCGUGGUGUUGGGGGACAACAUGGUUUCCCCAAAAGUGUCCCCGCUCCCCAGUUCCUCCCGCGGCGGCAUCAGCGCGGCCGUCUCACCCCAGGGAGACGACCCUGCCUCGGCCUCGAAGUCCGCUCGCAGGACCGCGCCCCUUGGGAAAGCGGGAGGCCCCAGCGCCCACGCGAAAGGAGCCGUCCUGCCCUCACGUCCUCUCUGGUGGAAACGGCGGCUCGCGAGGCCGACUUCGGGACCUGUGUUUGGGUCCCUGCAAGAAAUCCUGCGUCCAGGAGAGUGCAGUGCAUCCAAGCAGGGCAGCGAACUAGGACUGGCUCAGAAGAAAGCGAACUUCUAAGUGAUGGCAAGGUAAUCUUCGCCUGGAGUGCGUUUGCGGGCGGGGAUCGGGCCAAACGUUAGACUCUCGGGAAAUAACGCUGGUUUCCAGUCAGUUCGCGCGAACUCGGGCGCGUGGACGGCGCUCGGGCCUGGAGGACCCCGGGCCUCGGUGGUUACCCGAGAACCCAGCGCCCUGCAGUCGUCGUUUCAAAAGUUGUCCUGGCAAUGGGAUUACUUCUUGUAGCCACCGAAACAUGUAGAGACUUCAAUUGUAAGUGAAUGUUACUGAGAUUUCCAGAAAGGUGGGAGGAUCCACCUUCAGGUACCUGCAAAGUGGGGGUGAAGGGCAGUCGUGGGUUAGCCCUAACCCUAAGCCUGGCCGGAAUUUAGUCCACCGCUGCCUGCAGUGGCAGAAUUCAAACCGAGCACGGGAUCUGAGAGUGACCUCCCCAAGGGCCCUAGAUUUGAUUCAUCUAUAUUCUUUCUAAAUAUUACGCAGUGCUCCUGUAACUGCAGUUCGCCUUCAUGAAGGUUAUUUUUAGACCGAUCUCUUAUUAUCUGUAUUUUUAUAAGUCAGAGGUUUCUUGUGAUCGACGCCCGGUGUAAUAAAUCGCUCCACAAGACCCUGGCUUGGCUGGCUCGCGGUUCACAUUCAAGGUACCAGGUCCUAAGAGCUGUCUGUCCCAGAGUCCGGACUCCCGCCUCAGCUCCCUGAAGAGACGCGCGCUCCCCCUGAACACCUGGCUGCUUUCUCAUCACGUAGUCAGAGGGAAAUGGCAAUCUUAGUAAUUUUGUGGAUUUUUUUCUUCAAAUCCUUGCUUUUCUUUUUCUAAUUUGGUCAGUACUUCCUCGUGAAGUUCAGUUCCCUUCUACCUUUGGCAUGCUGGUUGUAAAUUAAUUCUUUCUUUUUCCUUUUUUCAGUGCUGUGUCUCUUUCUUUCUUUGACAAUUUUUAAAUGUUUGUGCUCAAAAUAACAUCUUUAGAAUUGAGUCACUUUAGGAAACCCUGAUUGUAGUCCCAGAUAACACCCUAAAGUACAAGGAAAUCCCCAGUUUAUUUGGCUAUUUGGAUUUCACUGCUUUUUCAUUGAACAAAAGGUAGAUUGAACUUUUAUAUUAACAUGACUAAUGAUAUAAUAAUUAUGAGCAUGAUUACAGAGGGAAAUUGGCAAUAUUUUAGUAAAACUGGUAAAUCAGUACUUUUGUAAAAGUGUUGUUUUCAAAAGUUAAAGUGCAAAAGCCCUUCUUUUCUGUUAGUCUGUGUUUGCAGUCGGUAGCGAUUGCAUUCCUCGUGGGGAGUUUGUGCCCAUCUGUCACACAGCUUAAUUCUCUUUUUGUCUCCUUCCCCGCCCCUCCCUUCCUACUCCCUCCGAUUCUUGUUCCCUUCCCGUUUGCAGAAAUUGCAUUUUUUGCUUUUUUCAAUUCUCUUUUUAAAAAUCCCUUUCCCUUUCUCUGCCCCUUCAUCUCUUGUUCCAUUUCCCAUUUGAAAAAGAUCUAUUUCCUAUUAUCCAUCUUUUACUUCGCUUUUUAUUUAUAUUUUGGGUUUCUUGAGUAAGAACAACCAUGUGGUAUUUAAAUUUGUGUGUUUUAUUUCACUUAACAUUACCAUUGUGAAGUAAAUGUAUUUACCUACAAAUGCCUGAAGUUUAUCCUUCUUUAU